AGAGUUUGAUCCUGGCUCAGAAUGAACGCUGGCGGCGUGCUUAACACAUGCAAGUCGCACGAGAACGCUUCAGCUUGCUGAAGCUAGUAAAGUGGCGCACGGGUGAGUAACGCGUGGGUAAUCUACCCCCGAAUUGGGGAUAACAUCGCGAAAGCGAUGCUAAUACCGGAUAAUAUCUUAAGGACCUCGGUUUUUAAGAUCAAAGGUGGCCUCUACAUGUAAGCUUCUGUUUGGGGAUGAGCCCGCGUACCAUUAGCUUGUUGGUAGGGUAAUGGCCUACCAAGGCUACGAUGGUUAGCUGGUCUGAGAGGAUGAUCAGCCACACUGGAACUGACACACGGUCCAGACUCCUACGGGAGGCAGCAGUGAGGAAUUUUGCGCAAUGGGGGAAACCCUGACGCAGCAACGCCGCGUGAGUGAUGAAGGCUUUCGGGUCGUAAAGCUCUGUCAAGUGGGAAGAACUCAUAUGGUGUUAAUACCGCCAUAUGUUGACGGUGCCACUGAAGGGAGCACCGGCUAACUCCGUGCCAGCAGCCGCGGUAAUACGGGGGGUGCGAGCGUUAUUCGGAAUUACUGGGCGUAAAGAGCGCGUAGGCGGUCUUUUAAGUCAGGUGUGAAAGCCCGGGGCUCAACCCCGGAAGUGCACUUGAAACUAAGAAACUUGAGUACAGGAGGGGAGAGCGGAAUUCUUGGGGUAGCGGUGAAAUGCGUUGAUAUCAAGAAGAACAUCGGUGGCGAAGGCGGCUCUCUGGAAUGUUACUGACACUGAGGCACGAAAGCUGGGGGAGCGAACAGGAUUAGAUACCCUGGUAGUCCCAGCCGUAAACGGUGUGCACUUGGUGUGGGAGGUAUUGACCCCCUCCGUGCCGGAGCUAACGCGUUAAGUGCACCGCCUGGGGAGUACGGCCGCAAGGCUAAAACUCAAAGAAAUUGACGGGGGCCCGCACAAGCGGAGGAGCAUGUGGCUUAAUUCGAUGCAACGCGAAGAACCUUACCAGGGCUUGACAUGUAACUGCAAAUCCGGUGAAAGCCGGACUCUUUCGAAGGUGUUACACAGGUGCUGCAUGGCUGUCGUCAGUUCGUGCCGUGAGGUGUUGGGUUAAGUCCCGCAACGAACGCAACCCCUGUGUUUAGUUGCCACCGCAGGUGAUGAGCCUGCGAGCACUCUAAACAGACUGCCCGUACAAGCGGGAGGAAGGUGGGGACGACGUCAAGUCAGUAUGGCCCUUACGUCCUGGGCUGCACACGUGCUACAAUGGUCGGUACAGAGGGAAGCAAGACCGCGAGGUGGAGCAAAUCCAUAAAGCCGUCCUCAGUUCGGAUUGGAGUCUGCAACUCGACUCCAUGAAGUUGGAUUCGCUAGUAACGGCGUAUCAGCUACGGCGCCGUGAAUACGUUCCCGGGCCUUGUACACACCGCCCGUCACAUCAUGAAAGCCGUCUGCACCCGAAGUCACUGAACUAACCUGCAAAGGAUGUAGGUGCCGAAGGUGUGGGUGGUGAUUGGGAUGAAGUCGUAACAAGGUA
rnacentral:rRNA from 1 species